AGGUGUGUUCAGGUGCAUUCUGGGGGUGCUGGUCUUACAGGGAGGUGUGUUCAGGUGCAUUAUGGGCUUGCUGGUCUUACGGGAUGGUGUUCAGGCUUCGGGGCGUUUGCUGGUCUUAUAGGGAGGUGUGUUCAGGUGCAUUCUGGGUGUGCUGGUCUUACAGGGAGGUGUGUUCAGGUGCAUUCUGUGUGUGGUUCUUUCAGGGAGGUGGUUCAGGUGUUCUUGGGCGUGCUGGGUCUUACAGGGAGGGGUUUCAGGUGCAAUC